rnacentral:rRNA from 1 species
GACGAACCGUGCGAACGUUGUUCGGAGUCACUGGGCUUAAAGGGCGCGUAGGCGGCCGGGUUGGUCGUGGGUGAAAUCCCCCAGCUUAACUGGGGAAUUGCCUACGAUACUGCCUGGCUCGAGGGAGGAAGGGGCAGCCGGAACUGUCGGUGGAGCGGUGAAAUGCGUUGAGAUCGACAGGAACGCCGGUGGCGAAAGCGGGCCGCUGGCCCUCUUCUGACGCUGAUGCGCGAAAGCCAGGGGAGCGAACGGG